AGUGAACGCUGGCGGUAGGCCUAACACAUGCAAGUCGAACGGCAGCACAGUAAGAGCUUGCUCUUACGGGUGGCGAGUGGCGGACGGGUGAGGAAUACAUCGGAAUCUACUUUUUCGUGGGGGAUAACGUAGGGAAACUUACGCUAAUACCGCAUACGACCCACGGGUGAAAGCAGGGGAUCUUCGUACCUUGCGCGAUUGAAUGAGCCGAUGUCGGAUUAGCUAGUUGGCGGGGUAAAGGCCCACCAAGGCGACGAUCCGUAGCUGGUCUGAGAGGAUGAUCAGCCACACUGGAACUGAGACAAGGUCCAGACUCCUACGGGAGGCAGCAGUGGGGAAUAUUGGACAAUGGGCGCAAGCCUGAUCCAGCCAUACCGCGUGGGUGAAGAAGGCCUUCGGGUUGUAAAGCCCUUUUGUUGGGAAAGAAAAGCAGCAGGUUAAUACCCCGCUGUUCUGACGGUACCCAAAGAAUAAGCACCGGCUAACUUCGUG
rnacentral:rRNA from 1 species